GGCUCAGGACGAACGCUGGCGGCGUGCCUAACACAUGCAAGUCGAACGAGGUCCAUCCAGUGGCAACACUGGUGAAGACCUAGUGGCGAACGGGUGAGUAACACGUGAGGAACCUGCCCCGAAGACCGGGAUAACCCUCCGAAAGGAGAGCUAAUACCGGAUACCCCCAGCUGAUCGCAUGGUCGGCUGAGGAAAUGGAUUCCGCUUCGGGAGGGCCUCGCGGCCUAUCAGCUAGUUGGUGAGGUAACGGCUCAUCAAGGCAUCGACGGGUAGCUGGUCUGAGAGGACGAUCAGCCACACUGGAACUGAGACACGGUCCAGACUCCUACGGGAGGCAGCAGUGGGGAAUCUUGCGCAAUGGGCGAAAGCCUGACGCAGCAACGCCGCGUGGGGGAUGAAGGCUCUCGGGUUGUAAACCCCUUUCAGUAGGGACGAAAAUGACGGUACCUACAGAAGAAGCCCCGGCCAACUACGUGCCAGCAGCCGCGGUAACACGUAGGGGGCAAGCGUUGUCCGGAUUUAUUGGGCGUAAAGAGCUCGUAGGCGGUUCGGUAAGUUGGGUGUGAAACCUCCAGGCUCAACCUGGAGACGCCACCCGAUACUGCUGUGACUAGAGUCCGGUAGGGGAGCGUGGAAUUCCUGGUGUAGCGGUGAAAUGCGCAGAUAUCAGGAGGAACACCAGCGGCGAAGGCGGCGCUCUGGGCCGGAACUGACGCUGAGGAGCGAAAGCGUGGGUAGCAAACAGGAUUAGAUACCCUGGUAGUCCACGCCGUAAACGUUGGGCACUAGGUGUGGGGUCUUAUCAACGGACUCCGUGCCGUAGCUAACGCAUUAAGUGCCCCGCCUGGGGGAGUACGGCCGCAAGGCUAAAACUCAAA
rnacentral:rRNA from 1 species